AACGAACGCUGGCGGCAUGCCUAACACAUGCAAGUCGAACGAGACCUUCGGGUCUAGUGGCGCACGGGUGCGUAACGCGUGGGAACCUGCCCUUAGGUUCGGAAUAACUCCCCGAAAGGGGUGCUAAUACCGGAUAAUGUCUUCGGACCAAAGAUUUAUCGCCUUUGGAUGGGCCCGCGUUGGAUUAGCUAGUUGGUAGGGUAAAAGCCUACCAAGGCGACGAUCCAUAGCUGGUCUGAGAGGAUGAUCAGCCACACUGGGACUGAGACACGGCCCAGACUCCUACGGGAGGCAGCAGGGGGGAAUAUUGGACAAUGGGCGAAAGCCUGAUCCAGCAAUGCCGCGUGAGUGAUGAAGGCCUUAGGGUUGUAAAGCUCUUUUACCCGGGAUGAUAAUGACAGUACCGGGAGAAUAAGCUCCGGCUAACUCCG
rnacentral:rRNA from 1 species